UGGGGAAUCUUGGACAAUGGGGGCAACCCUGAUCCAGCCAUGCCGCGUGAGUGAUGAAGGCCUUAGGGUCGUAAAGCUCUUUCGCCUGUGAAGAUAAUGACGGUAGCAGGUAAAGAAACCCCGGCUAACUCCGUGCCAGCAGCCGCGGUAAUACGGAGGGGGUUAGCGUUGUUCGGAAUUACUGGGCGUAAAGCGCACGUAGGCGGACCAGAAAGUUGGGGGUGAAAUCCCGGGGGCUCAACCCCGGAACUGCCUCCAAAACUAUUGGUCUAGAGUUCGAGAGAGGUGAGUGGAAUUCCAAGUGUAGAGGUGAAAUUCGUAGAUAUUUGGAGGAACACCAGUGGCGAAGGCGGCUCACUGGCUCGAUACUGACGCUGAGGUGCGAAAGUGUGGGGAGCAAACAGGAUUAGAUACCCUGGUAGUCCACACCGUAAAACGAU
rnacentral:rRNA from 1 species